rnacentral:rRNA from 1 species
AACGAACGCUGGCGGCGCGCCUAAUACAUGCAAGUCGAGCGAGAAGACGUAGCAAUACGUUUGUAAAGCGGCGAACGGGUGAGGAAUACAUGGGUAACCUACCCUAGAGUGGGGAAUAACUAGCCGAAAGGUUAGCUAAUACCGCGUACGCUCCUUGGACUUCGGUUCAGGGAGGAAAGCGAUACCGUGGGUAUUGCGCUCUUGGAUGGGCUCAUGUCCUAUCAGCUUGUUGGUGAGGAACGGCUCACCAAGGCUUCGACGGGUAGCUGGUCUGAGAGGACGAUCAGCCACACUGGCACUGCGACACGGGCCAGACUCCUACGGGAGGCAGCAGUAAGGAAUAUUGCGCAAUGGGCGAAAGCCUGACGCAGCGACGCCGCGUGGGGGA